rnacentral:lncRNA from 1 species
GGGGUCAUAGGGAACUUUUGAGAUAGCAUUUGAAAUGUAAAUAAAGAAAAUAGCUAAUAAAAAAAAGAAUGGAUAUUCAGUUCUAUUCUUCAUCUACCUGCCUGUCUGUACCAAUACCAUGCAGUUUUUUGUUGCUGUUUUGUUUUGGUUUUUUUUUUUUAAAUCAGGAAUGAUGAUUGCCCCAGAAGUUCUUUUAUUACUGAGAACAGUUUUCGCUAUCCUGGUUUUUUGCUAUUCCAAAUGAAUUUGAGAAUUGCUCUAUGAAGAAUUGAGUUGGAAUUUUGAUGGGGAUUGUAUAGAAUCUGUAGGUUGCUUUUGGCAAGAUGGCCAUUUUUUUCUAUAUUAGUCCUGCCAAUUCACAAGCAUGGGAGAACUUCCCAUCUUCUGAGGUCUUCGAUUUCUUUCUUCAGAGACUUUUGAAGUUCUUGUCAUACAGAUCUUUCACUUGCUUGGUUAGUCACACCAAGAUAUUUUAUGUUGUUUGUGACUAUUAUGAAGGGUGUCGUUUCUCUAAUUUCUAUCUUAGCCUGUGUAUUUUUGAGUAUAGGAAGGCUACUAAUUUGUUUGAGUCAAUUUAAUAUCCAGCCACUUUGCUGAAGUUGUUUAUCAGCUGUAGGAGUUCUUCGGUGGAAUUUUUAGGGUCACUUAAUUAUACUAUCAUAUCAUCUGCAAAUAGUGAUAUUUUGACUUCUUCCUUUCCAAUUAGUAUCCCUUUGACCUUUUGUUGUCUAAUUGCUCUGGCUAAGACUUCAAGUACUAUAUUGAAUAGAAUGGGAGAAAGGGCAGCCUUGUCUAGUCCCUGAUUCUAGUGGGACUGCUUCAAGUUUCUCUCCAUUUAAUUUGCUGUUGGCUACUGGUUUGCUGUAUAUUGCUCUUACUGUGUUUAAAUAUGGGCCUUGAAUUCCUCAUCUUUCCAAGACUUUUAACAUGAAGGAAUGUUACAUUUUGUCAAAUGCUUUCUCAGCAUCUAAUGAAAUGAUCAUGUGGUUUGGUUUUUUUUAUUAUUAUUAUUGUUGUUGUGGCAUUUGUUUAUGUAGUGGAUUACAUUGACGGAUUUCUGUAUAUUGACCAUGCCUGCAUCCCUGGGAUGAAGCCUACUUGAUCGUGGUGAAUGAUAGUUUUGAUGUGUUCUUGGACUCAGUUUGUGAGAAAUUUAUUAAAUGUUUUUGCAUCAAUAUUUAUAAGGGAAAUUGCUCUGAAGUUCUCUUUCUUUGUUGGGAUUGUGUAGAUUAGGUAUAAGCUGCAAUUGUGGCUUCAUAGAACAAAUUGGGUCGUCUUUCUUCUGUUUCUAUUUUGUGGGGUAGUUUGAAGAGUAUUGGUAUUAGGUCUUCUUUGAAGGUCUGAUAGAAUUCUGCACUAAACCCUUCUGGCCCUGCGCUUUGUUGUUGUUGUUGUUGUUGUUGGAAGGUAAUUUCUUUAAUUUCUUUUUCAAGUAAUGAUGUAAUAUUAACAUUCUCAGACACAGCACACCCCCUAAUGUUAUGAAGCACUUGGAUUUUUAAAGCAAUACUGAUAAUAGUUACCAAAUAUAUAAUCAAAUGGUACAUUAAAAGGAUAUGUGUCAUUUUAUUAUUUCAAACUUUUUGUUCUGAACAAUACAGUUUUACGUUUUAAGAAUACUAUGCUAAUUCACUUCUGGUAGUUGGAAAAUGCCUUCUGAUUCAAUUCGAUAGUUUUAGCACUAGAGGGCAGCCUUGCCUGCUUCUGGAUUGUGAAGAACUGAGUGAAUUUAAUUAAGCUAGCUUAAUCUUAAACAUUCAACCUCAGUAAAUGAAUGUCUUAGUCUCUUUAGAAUCAAGUUUUCCAUCCACUGUGGGUUUUUUCUUAUUAUUCUGAAAGUACAAAAUAAGACUGAUUUUGAGGGAGAGGGAGUUAGUUGUUGAUGUUAUUAUAUAUCUCCAUAUAAAAUCCAAGGAAAACACAAGUAUCAUUUACUGUAGUUAUGUUCAGAUAUGAUAAUGGAUUGAACAUAGAAACAUAUAAAUGGAACAGAAUAUGGAGCUAAUUAAAGAAAAUCUUGUACAUGAAAAUAUUUAUUCAGAAAACAGAUUUAGCUCCUAACUGUGCUGAUCUUGUAAUAGGAGUCAAGGCAAAACCAUAUCCAAGUGAGUACCUAUGUAAAUAAGCUGUUGUACAAGCAUUCCCAGCGCUCCAGAGUUUGCACCUGUGUACUAAAUAUCUGUUCUCUUCAGUUUUAGAGAUCCUGACCCGUUAGUCUUUGGUGCUGGCAAGUACCCAUCACAGUGCUUGGCAUUUAGGCUAAUCCACACUGUUUGAAUAUGUAGAUACAAAGCAUCACAGCUUAUACAAACCUGUUUUCACACGUCUAGGGAAGCUUUCCUAUCAUUGUGUCUGAAGAUAUGAAUAUAUACUUCUGUCUUUUCUUAUUUUCUCUAACAACCUUUACCUAUGGAUAAAGGUUAUUAGACAUUGACUAUUAGACUGUAAUGUUUAGUAGG